rnacentral:rRNA from 1 species
AAUCAACGCUGGCGGCGUGCCUAACACAUGCAAGUCGAACGCGAAAAGGGGCAACCCUGAGUAGAGUGGCGUCCGGGUGAGUAACACGUGGAUAAUCUGCCUGCGGGGCGGGGAAUAACUUUCCGAAAGGGGAGCUAAUACCGCAUAACACCGUAAUAGGGCAUCCUGAUACGGUCAAAGAGGGGGAUCGCAAGACCUCUCGCCUGCAGAGGAGUCCGCGGCCGAUUAGCUAGUGGCGAGGUAACGGCUCACCAAGGCAGCGAUCGGUAGCCGGCCUGAGAGGGCGAACGGCCACACUGGCACUGAAUACGGGCCAGACUCCUACGGGAGGCAGCAGUGGGGUAAUUUUGGGCAAUGGCCGAAAGGCUGACCCAGCAACGCCGCGUGAAGGA